GGCAGAACGGAAUAUUGCUGGAAAACGCCACUACGAUGAUCUCUAGAUUGACGGUUGGCUUUAUAUUGAUUAUCCUUCAGAUAUUUACAUCAUCGCUCAUCGGGUAAGUAUGAAAAGGAUUCUACCAUGUUCCUCUCAUUAGAUUAAUCUAAACUCCUUUGUGUUGACCUCCUCUGAUGGUAGAAACGCUGACACCAAAGCAGUUACUUAUUCUAGCUCUUCAGGAAGCUGAGAGAAAUGGAAAUAGCAUAUAUAUUAUCUGCCUUAUCCGUGUGGAGGAUUCGGUGGAUGAGGACCAUACUUCUCAGGUAGGUUCUUACACUACAACUAAACCAGUUUUUAUCUUAGAGCGGAAAACCUUUUUUUCUUAACAAUAUGAACCUUUGUGCCCAUGUAUGUGAAAAUAACUACUGCCCAACCCUUACCUUUGUUUAGUCAUGUGUUCUCCACAGUACAAAUGUUGUGAAAUAGACGUUCCCAUUAACGAGGAGAUACGCCAUACAUGUUCCACCUAUCUGUUAUGCUUCCGUUGUGGCAUUAGUUUGUUUUGUUUCCAUGAUCAGGUGGCUUAACUUUUUCAUUGAGUGUUAUCAUCAUUAAGCCUUACGCUACAGGUCAGACUCAUCGAAUAUGCUCCCUGUUUUAUAAGUACCACACUGUGCUCUUUCGUGUCUGAAGGAAAGAAAUCUGCUCUCAGGUUCAUCGCAAUUGAACUCUUAAAUGUUUGAGAGGUACUCUACAGUUCCAUCGUCAGGCUUCCCAAGUUUAAUCUUUCUCCAAGAAUUCAAAAAGUUUCCAUAUGGCGGAAGGGAUGUAACACUUCUGAAGUCAUUUGAGUUCCAGGACCUUUAAUCACGUGGUCAGUCGUUACCGUUUCAAGUUUCAACAGUGGUCACUCCACUUUGGGUCAGCUUGCACUCAAUUACAUGCCAGUUAAGUUCAAGUUUCUUGAGCAAGAGCGUGCACUCGAACAGCACCUCUCAAUUUAGCUAUAGAGAUCCUGAAAUGGAGCGAGGAGACAACAAACAUUUGCGUGAGUGUAUACUCUAUGUACAGCACUUAUCAAGUUCUUCUCAAAUCAGUGUAUUCAAAUUAAAAACAAGUCUAAUGUAAAUAGUCGCCAUUAUCUGAACGGGUGAUUUCUACAUAUUGAUCUUAAUUGAUUGAG